rnacentral:rRNA from 1 species
AAAAUAAAAAUUAAAAAUAAAAAAAAAUAAUAAAAAUAAUUUUAAUAUUAAAAUAAAUAAUGGGGGUUAAAGUAUUUUAAUAGAAAAAAUAAAAAUUUUUAUAGUGAAUUAGUAUAAUAAUAGAAAUUUGAAAUAAUUGAAAAUAAAUUUUAUAAAAAGUAAAUUUAAAUUAUUGUAUCUUGUGUAUCAGAGUUUAUUAAAUAUAAUUUAAUUAAAUAAAUAUCUCGAAUUUGAAAGAGUUAAUUAAUUAAUAAAUUUAAUGUUGAAUAAUUAUUUUAAAUAAUUAAUUAGAAAUGAAAUGUUAUUCGUUUUCAAAAAUAUCUAGUUAUUUUAGAAAAAAAUUUAAUUUUAAAUUUAUUUAUUUUUUGUAUAAUUAUAUUAUAUAAAAAAAAAAUAAAUUUUAUAGUUUAAGGGAUAAGCUUUAAAUUAAAUUUUUAUAAUAAAAUAAAUUAAAAUUAAAAUUUUUAAAAUUUAAAUUGUUUAAAAAUUAAAAUUUAUUAUAAAAAAUUUUAUUAAAAAUAAAAUUUAUAAAAAUUUAAAUUUUUAUAAAAAUAUAAUAAUUAAUAAAAAAUUAUUAGAAAUAAUGAUAAAAUUAGUAUAAAAUAAUAAUAAUAAAGAAAAUUUAUGAAAAAUAAAUAAAAGGAAUUCGGCAAAAAUUUAUAUUCACCUGUUUAUCAAAAACAUGUCUUUUUGAAUAAUAAUUUAAAGUCCAGUCUGCCCACUGAUUUAUAUUAAAGGGCUGCAGUAUUUUGACUGUACAAAGGUAGCAUAAUCAUUAGUCUUUUAAUUGAAGACUUGUAUGAAGGAUUAGAUGAAAUAUAAACUGUCUCUUAUUUAAUUAUAGAAUUUAAUUUUUUAGUUAAAAAGCUAAAAUAAUUUUAAAAGACGAGAAGACCCUAUAGAGUUUUAUAUUUAUUUAUAAAUUAUAUUUAUAUAAAAUUUUAAUAUAAUUUAUAAUUAAAUAUUUUGUUGGGGUGAUAAAAAAAUUAAUAAAACUUUUUUUAAAAAUAAACAAAGAUAAAUGAAUAAAUGAUCCAUAAAUAAUGAUUAUAAGAAAAAAUUACCUUAGGGAUAACAGCGUAAUAUUUUUUUUUAGUACAAAUAAAAAAAAAAGUUUGCGACCUCGAUGUUGGAUUAAGAUAAAAAUUAAAUGCAAAAGUUUAAAUUUUUGAUCUGUUCGAUCAUUAAAAUCUUACAUGAUCUGAGUUCAAACCGGUGUAAGCCAGGUUGGUUUCUAUCUUUAAUAAAAUAAAAUAUUUUAGUACGAAAGGAUCAAAUAUUUAAAAUAAUUUUAUAAAAAGAAUAUUAAUAAUAAUAGUAUAUAUAUAUAUAUAUAUA